rnacentral:rRNA from 1 species
UACGUAGGGUGCGAGCGUUAAUCGGAAUUACUGGGCGUAAAGCGUGCGUAGGCGGUUUUGUAAGUCAGAUGUGAAAUCCCCGGGCUUAACCUGGGAAUGGCAUUUGGGACUGCAAGGCUUGAGUGCGGCAGAGGAGACUGGAAUUCCUGGUGUAGCAGUGAAAUGCGUAGAUAUCAGGAGGAACACCCGUAGCGAAGGCGGCACUCUGGGCCGAUUCUGACACUGAGGAGCGAAAGCGUGGGGAGCGAACAGG